GAUGAACGCUGGCGGCGUGCCUAAUACAUGCAAGUCGAGCGAACAGAUGAGGAGCUUGCUCCUCUGACGUUAGCGGCGGACGGGUGAGUAACACGUGGAUAACCUACCUAUAAGACUGGGAUAACUUCGGGAAACCGGAGCUAAUACCGGAUAAUAUAUUGAACCGCAUGGUUCAAUAGUGAAAGACGGUUUUGCUGUCACUUAUAGAUGGAUCCGCGCCGCAUUAGCAAGUUGGUAAGGUAACGGCUUACCAAGGCGACGAUGCGUAGCCGACCUGAGAGGGUGAUCGGCCACACUGGAACUGAGACACGGUCCAGACUCCUACGGGAGGCAGCAGUAGGGAAUCUUCCGCAAUGGGCGAAAGCCUGACGGAGCAACGCCGCGUGAGUGAUGAAGGUCUUCGGAUCGUAAAACUCUGUUAUUAGGGAAGAACAAAUGUGUAAGUAACUAUGCACGUCUUGACGGUACCUAAUCAGAAAGCCACGGCUAACUACGUG
rnacentral:rRNA from 1 species